ACCAUCUUUUUAUUGAGGUUGCACUACUGUCACAUAAGCAUGUGGUAAGGGCAGUACUGCUAACACCUAUAAAACACCACUGAUAAUAUAGAUAA
rnacentral:snRNA from 1 species